UACGUAGGUGGCAAGCGUUGUCCGGAUUUACUGGGCGUAAAGAGCGCGCAGGCGGUCGUUCAAGUCGCGUGUGAAAGCCCCCGGCUCGACUGGGGAGGGUCACGCGAUACUGAUCGACUCGAAGGCAGGAGAGGGUAGUGGAAUUCCCGGUGUAGUGGUGAAAUGCGUAGAUAUCGGGAGGAACACCAGUGGCGAAGGCGACUACCUGGCCUGUUCUUGACGCCGAGGCGCGAAAGCUAGGGGAGCAAACGGG
rnacentral:rRNA from 1 species